rnacentral:rRNA from 1 species
UAGAGAUGAGCUCGCGUCUGAUUAGCUAGUAGGUGUGGUAAUGGCGCACCUAGGCGACGAUCAGUAACUGGUCUGAGAGGAUGACCAGUCACACUGGGACUGAGACACGGCCCAGACUCCUACGGGAGGCAGCAGUGGGGAAUUUUCCGCAAUGGGCGAAAGCCUGACGGAGCAAUACCGCGUGAGGGACGAAGGCUUUUGGGUCGUAAACCUCUUUUCCCUGAGAAGAAGAUCUGACGGUAUCAGGGGAAUCAGCAUCGGCUAACUUCGUGCCAGCAGCCGCGGUAAUACGAGGGAUGCAAGCGUUAUCCGGAAUUAUUGGGCGUAAAGCGUCCGCAGGUGGCUCUGUAAGUCUGUCGUUAAAGAAUGGGGCUCAACCCCAUACAGGCGAUGGAAACUACAAGGCUAGAGUUUGGUAGGGGUCACGGGAAUUCCUAGUGU